GGACAGAUGGCCGAGCUGGUUAUGGCGCCAGGUUAAGGAUGCCUUAACUUCAUUUCCUGGUCACGAAAGUGGCGUGGGUUCGAGUCCCACUCUGUUCA
rnacentral:tRNA from 2 species